rnacentral:tRNA from 1 species
GCGCUUGUAGCUCAGCUGGAUAGAGUACCUGACUACGAAUCAGGUGGUCGCAGGUUCGAAUCCUGCCAAGCGUA